rnacentral:rRNA from 1 species
CCUACGGGCGGCAGCAGUGGGGAAUAUUGGACAAUGGGGGAACCCUGAUCCAGCCAUGCCGCGUGUGUGAAGAAGGCCCUCGGGUUGUAAAGCACUUUCAGUGAGGAAGAACGCCUGGUGGUUAAUACCCAUCAGGAAAGACAUCACUCACAGAAGAAGCACCGGCUAACUCCGUGCCAGCAGCCGCGGUAAUACGGAGGGUGCGAGCGUUAAUCGGAAUUACUGGGCGUAAAGCGCGCGUAGGUGGCUUGAUAAGCCGGUUGUGAAAGCCCCGGGCUCAACCUGGGAACGGCAUCCGGAACUGUCAAGCUAGAGUGCAGGAGAGGAAGGUAGAAUUCCCGGUGUAGCGGUGAAAUGCGUAGAGAUCGGGAGGAAUACCAGUGGCGAAGGCGGCCUUCUGGACUGACACUGACACUGAGGUGCGAAAGCGUGGGUAGCAAACAGGAUUAGAUACCCUAGUAGUC